ensembl:lncRNA
CUUCUUGACUUCCAGAGGUUGAACAGCUUCCACCCACCAUGGCUUCCCCUGUGCCUGUCUGUUUGGAGCCAAUGAUGAACUGAAUCUUCUAAGAACUGGAUCAAACUCGGGACCUUCCGGUUGCGAGUCAGGCGGCGGAACCGCUGAGCUAAAUCUCCCCACCCCCCCAUGCUUUCCUUUUAACCUGAGGAUCAGAGGUGGAAGAAUCCACAAUGACUGUCUGCAUAGAGAGACCCAAAGGAUCCACUAGCGGCCAACCCAAGAAGAUGGAAGGUGCCAAACAAGAAGAAUCAAGGAUGCAGAUUCAGUCAAAAACCAAAGCCCUGAAAGCUCACUGUAGAAUCACCAAAGUCCAUUUGGAG